AGUGAACAAUUAAACGGCCGCGGUACCCUAACCGUGCAAAGGUAGCGUAAUCAUUUGUCUAUUAAUUGUAGACCAGUAUGAAAGGCAUAAUGAGGGUCUAUCUGUCUCUUAUAAUAAAUCAAUUAAACUGAUCUUCUAGUAAAAAAGCUAAAAUAUCUACACAAGACCAGAAGACCCUGUGAAGCUUAAACUAAACUAUUAAACCCUAUAAUAGUUACUUUCGGUUGGGGCGACCUUGGAAAAAAAGAGAACUUCCAAAUAUAUGACCACAACUCACCAACUAGGCCUACAAGCCAUAAAUAGACCCAGUACAGCUGAUAAUUGAACCAAGUUACUCCAGGGAUAACAGCGCCAUCUUCUUCAAGAGUCCAUAUCAAAAAGAAGGUUUACGACCUCGAUGUUGGAUCAGGACAUCCUAA
rnacentral:rRNA from 1 species